AGGCGGAGUGCUUAAUGCGUUAGCUGCAGCACUAAAGGGGCGGAAACCCCCUAACACUUAGCACUCAUCGUUUACGGCGUGGACUACCAGGGUAUCUAAUCCUGUUUGAUCCCCACGCUUUCGCACAUCAGCGUCAGUUACAGACCAGAAAGUCGCCUUCGCCACUGGUGUUCCUCCAUAUCUCUGCGCAUUUCACCGCUACACAUGGAAUUCCACUUUCCUCUUCUGCACUCAAGUUUUCCAGUUUCCAAUGACCCUCCACGGUUGAGCCGUGGGCUUUCACAUCAGACUUAAAAAACCGCCUACGCGCGCUUUACGCCCAAUAAUUCCGGAUAACGCUUGCCACCUACGUAUUACCGCGGCUGCUGGCACGUAGUUAGCCGUGGCUUUCUGAUUAGGUACCGUCAAGAUGUGCACAGUUACUUACACAUAUGUUCUUCCCUAAUAACAGAGUUUUACGAUCCGAAGACCUUCAUCACUCACGCGGCGUUGCUCCGUCAGGCUUUCGCCCAUUGCGGAAGAUUCCCUACUGCUGCCUCCCGUAGGAGUCUGGACCGUGUCUCAGUUCCAGUGUGGCCGAUCACCCUCUCAGGUCGGCUAUGCAUCGUUGCCUUGGUAAGCCGUUACCUUACCAACUAGCUAAUGCAGCGCGGAUCCAUCUAUAAGUGACAGCAAGACCGUCUUUCACUUUUGAACCAUGCGGUUCAAAAUAUUAUCCGGUAUUAGCUCCGGUUUCCCGAAGUUAUCCCAGUCUUAUAGGUAGGUUAUCCACGUGUUACUCACCCGUCCGCCGCUAACAUCAGAGAAGCAAGCUUCUCGUCCGUUCGCUCGACUUGCAUGUAUUAGGCACGCCGCCAGCGUUCAUCCUGAGCCAGGAUCAAACCCUU
rnacentral:rRNA from 1 species